GUGGACCAGAGGAAGCAGUGCUCCAUGUACAGUAAGCCAGGUCUGACUUCUGCUGUUGACCAGCCAUAUAAUGGUGGGCAAGUCAUGCCCUCUGAGCCCAGUUUUUCUACUUGGAAAAAGUAGUACUUGUAUAGUUGUAGUUUUUCUACACCAGCUCAUAGGACUACAGGAAUAAAAUGAGAGAACUGAAGAAGUUGACAGCCAUGAUCAAUUUUGGUGCUGCAGAACUGUUUGGGGCCGGUCAUUUGGAACUGAAGUGUAUGGCAUGCUGUGUCAGCUGAAAUUUCACAAGUCCAGACUGGAUCACAGGUUGUUUACAGGUACCCCAGAGGAGUCUGGAUUGCAGGAAGGCUCUGGACCAGCCAUCCUAACUUGAACUGGGCCAUAUCAUCAGAUAUGAAACCUCAGUGAUCUCCUUCCAAUUCUACCAACUCGGAUUCCGACUCCGUCGCCUCGCCGCUCGGUCCCUCCGGUGUAACCUGCUGCCACCUGGCUUCCCGGCUCAGGCGCCCGGCUUCAAAUCUGUCUCUCACCCAUUGUCCAGUUUCCGGUGAGUCAAGUUCAACCCCAGGUUCAACCCCUAG